UAAUACAUGCAAGUCGAGCGGACAGAUGGGAGCUUGCUCCCUGAUGUUAGCGGCGGACGGGUGAGUAACACGUGGGUAACCUGCCUGUAAGACUGGGAUAACUCCGGGAAACCGGGGCUAAUACCGGAUGGUUGUCUGAACCGCAUGGUUCAGACAUAAAAGGUGGCUUCGGCUACCACUUACAGAUGGACCCGCGGCGCAUUAGCUAGUUGGUGAGGUAACGGCUCACCAAGGCGACGAUGCGUAGCCGACCUGAGAGGGUGAUCGGCCACACUGGGACUGAGACACGGCCCAGACUCCUACGGGAGGCAGCAGUAGGGAAUCUUCCGCAAUGGACGAAAGUCUGACGGAGCAACGCCGCGUGAGUGAUGAAGGUUUUCGGAUCGUAAAGCUCUGUUGUUAGGGAAGAACAAGUGCCGUUCAAAUAGGGCGGCACCUUGACGGUACCUAACCAGAAAGCCACGGCUAACUACGUGCCAGCAGCCGCGGUAAUACGUAGGUGGCAAGCGUUGUCCGGAAUUAUUGGGCGUAAAGGGCUCGCAGGCGGUUUCUUAAGUCUGAUGUGAAAGCCCCCGGCUCAACCGGGGAGGGUCAUUGGAAACUGGGGAACUUGAGUGCAGAAGAGGAGAGUGGAAUUCCACGUGUAGCGGUGAAAUGCGUAGAGAUGUGGAGGAACACCAGUGGCGAAGGCGACUCUCUGGUCUGUAACUGACGCUGAGGAGCGAAAGCGUGGGGAGCGAACAGGAUUAGAUACCCUGGUAGUCCACGCCGUAAACGAUGAGUGCUAAGUGUUAGGGGGUUUCCGCCCCUUAGUGCUGCAGCUAACGCAUUAAGCACUCCGCC
rnacentral:rRNA from 1 species